UGGCUCAGAACGAACGCUGGCGGCAGGCCUAACACAUGCAAGUCGAGCGAGAUCUUCGGAUCUAGCGGCGGACGGGUGAGUAACGCGUGGGAAUAUGCCCUUCUCUACGGAAUAGCCUCGGGAAACUGGGAGUAAUACCGUAUACGCCCUUAGGGGGAAAGAUUUAUCGGAGAAGGAUUAGCCCGCGUUGGAUUAGGUAGUUGGUGGGGUAAUGGCCUACCAAGCCUACGAUCCAUAGCUGGUUUGAGAGGAUGAUCAGCCACACUGGGACUGAGACACGGCCCAGACUCCUACGGGAGGCAGCAGUGGGGAAUCUUAGACAAUGGGGGCAACCCUGAUCUAGCCAUGCCGCGUGAGUGAUGAAGGCCUUAGGGUUGUAAAGCU
rnacentral:rRNA from 1 species